GUGGCGUCGUCGUUAUCUCUUGAAUGUCAACGGGCGCCUUCAUGCAGUGCAGAGUUCCACAUAUAAGCUGUCGUGGGACGCGAUUUUCGCCACCGUCCCAGCCAUUCGCGCUGCACGACACUCUUCUGCACGCACGAGCGGCCAAUACUCGCCAGCAGACGCCAUGGACGCCUACGUUCUGGGUGAGAGCCAGCCGCUGAGCGAAUUCUGCGCUAACUUGGGCCUGUAGUCAUCAUGGCUUUCCCAGCCUUGCUAUUUUGCGUCUCUUCACGUUCUUGACAUGGAAGCUGCCACCUCUAACUCUUCACGAACAAAAGCGAACGCUGAACGUCCAAUAUGCUUCUACUAGAAAAGCACCGGGCCUUGCGCACCACGAAGAAUGGGAGCCUCUGAAGACAAAGAUUCGACAAAGUGCCAUCACACAAGCGUCAGAUGCCUGGAAGCUACCAGAAUAAAACAUUAGGUGAUUAUAGUACCCAAUAAAUUAUUUGUUAAAAAAGGAAA